rnacentral:lncRNA from 1 species
UGUGGAUCAAGGCUGGAGGAUGACAAGCUCCUGACUGAUAGAUACAUGGAGACUUCGCUGGUGAUUUAUUGGCUUUCUGCACCUGACGAGAACCACUAGGCCUAUCUGAGGAGGGAAAUAUAUGGGCUUUCCUGACUCCAAGUGGCAGCCCCGGGGCGAGCAUGUGAUGUCAAGCUGGGCAGAGGAAAGCGGAGCUGUGCACCGGCCUGUGUACUGUAAGCCGGCCCGGGUCGUAAAAGUGUCAGCACGCGAUAUAUUUCUUGCAGGGGAUCCUCUCUGGCUCUUGCCAGCGCCUCUCCCCCGUGGCUGGCAGCCGCCCUAGCCGGGCCUGCAAACAGCGGAUGCCCCAGGUCGCUAUCCCUCCGCCCUGCCCCGGAGCGCCGGGCCCUCACGUUCUCGCUCCAGCCUGGGGUCUCUCACGUGGCAUCUGGCCCUGGGGACGGUGCAGCGGAGGAGUUAAUUGCUGUCACUCCUGACUUCAGCGAAAGAGGUCGAUCGUGGGGUGAGAUAUUGAAGCUGGGGAUUGACCUGUGGACCAAGAGUUUGAUGGGGCAACUCAAUAGCAAACUCAAUGUUCCCAGAGAUGAACCAAGUAAUCAGUUAUUUAUUCAGAAAAUUAAGUGCCAUUCGUGUGCCAGGCACUGCGCCCCCUACCCGCAGGCCUCACCUUGGCCACCGGCCUGAGUUGUUCUCAUUUCUCCUCCCUCUACCUCCAGGCUUCUUCCUCGGGGUUAGCAGGGGCCUGGAGUGGAUGUUUAGUCUACCGGUCAGACUCCAGGUCUUAUAUCUUGAAACUGUAAGUCCCUGAAUUCACAGACAAUUCAGAGUAAGGAUGGAGGCAAAGAAGAGGACCUUGGGUUUACUGUUCACGAGAUGACCUCAUAAAGGUGUUCAGUGAUGAAGAGGAGUGGCUGAAGAGGGGUGGAAUAGUGAGUUGUUACAAAGCCAUUCCUGGAUACGAUGGUGAUGUGGCUCUAUCAUCUGCAUCAAAUUUCUUGUUGGUUUUGACCCUGCAUAGUGGGCUGAGCUGUUCUGCCUUCCUCGCUCAUUGCUCUUUGAACAAUCUUCCCAAAUGUGCAUGCUGGACUGAAGGUCCCAGUGAGUGGAAAACCCUUCUUCUAUCAGGAUCAUUCAAGGGUGAAGCAUCUCCUGAGAAGCAGAAGACCCUGUGAAACAGGUUUGUAGAAACCAGUAUUAUGGUUAUAUGUUCUCUCUAAUUAGU